UGUUCUUCCCCAAAGAGGAGCCCUCCACCCUCUGUGAGGCUGCGAGGUCAGGGGUGAGCUGGGCUGGAGUCGGCGCAAUUCUGCUGUCGGAUGUCGCAAAGCUAAAUUUUGGAGGGAAAAAAAGCCUUGCUACUUCUGCCAAGACCUCUGGUUCACGGACUCUGGAGGAAACUAGGCUCUAUGUAGGAACUCUAACUUCCCCGAGCCUGCCAUGGCAUGAGGAGUCUGUACAGGAGAGAUAGUGAUCUGGCUGCUGCUCGGCUCUCCCUGGAGAAAUUCCUGGAGGAAGACCUGCCCCACUGAGCCUCAGGACUGCAGCUUCUGCUACAGCCUCCAUCUAAAUUGCAGUCGCGUAAGAGGUCUCAAGAGAAAACCGCCCAGCUGAACCCAGCCACCUCCAGAAGAAAAUGACCUCCCGAGGCCAUGGGACAGGCACUGUGCCACAUGGGACAGAAGUCACAGCGUCCUCCGGCUUGCAGGCCUAGCCCUCCAACAGCCAAGGGAGCCAGAGACGCACACAGCUGCCUGCACCAGGGCUCGCUCAGGCUCUGUGAUCACCCAGCCAUCAGUUCCAGGUUGGCCAAUCAUCUCUAGUUCCUGGAAUGGGGCUCUUCUCACCGCUGGCUCUGACACUGCUUUAACUGGAAGGGGCAGAAAAGACCACAUGAAAACAUAAACGCCUUGGCUCAACAAUGCUGCAGAGUGGCAGCUGGCUUUGAACACAAUUCAAUUUAGGACCAACACCCUGGACCUAAUUUCUGUCUUUCUCUGUUCCUUGGAUCUACUUCCCUUGAGCUCUUUUCUCAGACAAUGCCUCAUGAUGACAAGAGGGCUGCAAAGACAGACACUCUACCAUUCCCCAUCCCAGCAAGGGAGAACCUCGCCUCUCCAGCACCUUUAAAAUUCUGAAGGCUGACUCUGACUGGCCUAGCUUAGAUCAUGUGCCCAGCUCUGCACCAGUGACUGUGGCCAUGCAAAUGAGAUGCACUGCUGGGCCUGGGCCUGGGCCUGACCUGAGGCUGAGCACCAUCGGUCCACGUGGGAAGGAGGAAGCAGGGUUAUCCAUGGGCCCUGGAUGAAGGAAGGGUGAUGGAUGCUAGAGAGGCGUCAUGUGCGAGGGCCAGGAGUUACAGUCCACGUAGAAAGGCCACAUGGGUGUGAUCAUUGUCAUGUUCCCAUACACAUGUGUGCACGCACACAGACCAUGGUGUCCAGCCCCCAUCCUCUCACCCGAGCAGCCUGGCCCGGGACACUCCUUUCCCGAUGGUUCCUACCACAGCCAUGGGGCCGAGUCCCUCUGACCAGAUCUGACCGCCUGCCACCCCCUGAACUCUCUGGGUGGUCAUUGUGCCCAGCCACACCCAAGUCACGUCUCUCCCAGGGUUCCAGGGGAGGGCGCAGCCCACUAAGCCGCACAGAGAGCUGAGGCCAGCUGCACCUGAGGCAGACGUUGGAAGCUGACCCUCCCCAAGGCCCGCCCCUUUUGGCCACGGAUUGUCCUUGGAGAGUUCCUGCAGCGGCCCCUGGGACCGUCUGCUCCAGCAGUGAGCGUAGCUCCAGCGGGGCUGGUUCCUCGCCAGUGGUCUUGCUCCUCAUGGGUGCUCCAGGUCUGGUGUUGGGUGGGCUCCACGCCCCUCUCCGAAGACGCUGCUCCCCGGAGCUGAGCGCUCAUCCCUGGGGCCUGCCCUUGGAGUCCUGCCAGCCCUGGGCCUGGCCCUUCGGUGGCUGCCAUCUGGGAGCGCAUCUCGGGGGGAGGAAGGAGGCCGCAGGAGAGAGCCAGGGAGAACUCGCACUCAUCAAGGCAAAAGGAAUUAGAAGACGUUUAUUUCAGCGCAAAAAGCUUGGAAUCCACGCAUAGGUUUUUCACAAUGUGCGUGUCAUCAUCAAAGACUCCUCACACAGGGAAGCCAGCGCUGCGAUGACGUCACCCGACGCUGUGAUGACGUCAGCUCGGGGAGGCCCCAGUUCCUGGGGAGGGCAGCCCUGGGGACGCAGCCCCUCUCAAAGGCGCCAUCUUGCGGACGCGUGCACACAGGACCUGGGGAUCUGGUGACCGACACGGGAAGCCCCCGACUCACGCUGAUGUCCCCUCCGAGGUCGGGGAGGGUCGGUCACGAAAGCGCGGGUCAGGGCCACCUCCUGGUCAGGGACCUGAGCGCUCCCUCCCGCUUCUCGCAGGGGCUCCUCCCAGGGUCUCACGGUGCCCGGGCCGCCCGCCUGCCUGUGGCCCUGACCAGUGCUCUGGUCCCCGGCAGCAGCGUGCCGUCGCCUUGCUUUCCUCCUCGUCCGAGCCCGGAUCCUCGACCCAUG